UAAGCAUCCUCGCCUCCAGUCCUCCUGACAGCCUGUGGUUAGAUGCCACCGUGGCAGCUCAGAGUUCUGGAACCUGCCUCAGGGGUAGGACAGCCGGAAGCAAAUGCAAAGGCUUCCCAGGAUUCGGGGCUACAUCGGGGAGUUCCUGCAGUACCCUACGUGUCGUGAGUCGUGGUCCUCCUAGCUCAGCACGGAAGUCCUUCGUCACGCUUGGGUUCUGCCUGCUGAAAUAGAUGCUUGUCCAGGCCCGAGACAAGUCCUUCCUCUCCAUGUCACCAGGGCCCAGCUCAGCAGUGCAACUCAAGCAAGAACUGGUGAGUGUGUGUCCUAAUUGUCUUUUCUGAGCUGCUUGUAUU
rnacentral:lncRNA from 1 species